UACGGGGGGGGCAAGCGUUGUUCGGAAUUACUGGGCGUAAAGGGCUCGUAGGUGGCCAACUAAGUCGGAUGUGAAAUCCCCAGGCUCAACUUGGGAACUGCAUCCGAUACUGGAUGGCUUGAAUUCGGGAGAGGGAUGCAGAAUUCCAGGUGUAGCGGUGAAAUGCGUAGAUAUCUGGAGGAAUACCGGUGGCGAAGGCGGCAUCCUGGACCGACAUUGACGCUGAACGGCGAAAGCUAGGGGAGCAAACGGG
rnacentral:rRNA from 1 species